rnacentral:rRNA from 1 species
GUCCUGGCAGUAAACGGUGCACACUUGGUGUGGGAGGAUUCGACCCCUUCCGCGCCGGAGCUAACGCGUUAAGUGUGCCGCCUGGGAAGUACGGUCGCAAGAUUAAAACUCAAAGAAUUGACGGGGACCCGCACAAGCGGUGGAGUAUGUGGCUUAAUUCGAUGCAACGCGAAGAACCUUACCUGGUCUUGACAUGCAUUCUGUCUCCUGUGAAAGCAGGAUAGGUUAGCAAUAACCGGUUUGCACAGGUGCUGCAUGGCUGUCGU